CCCUUAGGUAUCGAUGGACCGGGUCACCGCACUCUACAUCGCACCGUUAUGGUUUAUACUUGUUCUUUUAUGCUGCUCCCAGCAAAAGGAGAAUGCAACACCUGCAUACUACCAAAAGAUGAGUUUUCGGUUACCGUUGUUUAUUAUUCAAUAUCACCGUUUGCUCUAUUUAAUUUAUAUUAUUCUUCCUUUGUAUGUUAUACAGACUGCCACCACUCCUCAUCACCUCCGUUUAUUCUUCAAUGGGAAGAUAAUGGGGUAUACACUAUGACGUCAAUGUGCUUUACUGUCUUACGUGUGUUACCUCCAGUAUCUGUGGUUAUACCAAAAUAAUCGACGUACACGUGAGGACUUAAUCUAUCGCGGCCACCAUCAGCGUUGCUGCUAUGGGAUAUGAAUCAUCUAUUAUAUUUAAUUAACCAAGUCAUCCGGAGUUUCCAGUUGGGAACUCCUGCUACCGUUUACGAACCGUUACCCAUUUCGAGGCCGAACUAGCAUAUUGCGGCUCUUAACUCUUUAUCUUUAUCUGAAUGGUUCAUCGAUUACUAUAGUGUGCAGCAGGUAUUGAUGGUCCGAUCCAGUAAAUUCGGGUUCCACAUCCUGCCACCCCAGAGUAGGGACUUGCUGUUGAAGUCUCCGGCCAAGAUGACUCCAGCCCAUUUUUUAGCUUUAAUAAUAUCAGCGAUUUCGUCUAAUCUACCAUCGACUGUAUUAUCAUCAAUAUUCGGCGAUAUAUAGCUACUAA